CACCAGUGGNGAAGGCGACUUUCUGGACGAAAACUGGCGCUGAGGCGCGAAAGCCAGGGGAGCGAACGGGAUUAGAUACCCCGGUAGUCCUGNCCGUAAACGAUGGGUACUAGGUGUAGGAGGUAUCGACCCNUUCUGUGCCGGAGUUAACGCAAUAAGUACCCCGCCUGGGGAGUACGACCGCAAGGUUGAAACUCAAAGGAAUUGACGGGGGCCCGCACAAGCGGUGGAGUAUGUGGUUUAAUUCGACGCAACGCGAAGAACCUUACCAGGUCUUGACAUUGAUGGACAGAACCAGAGAUGGUUCCUCUUCUUCGGAAGCCAGAAAACAGGUGGUGCACGGUUGUCGUCAGCUCGUGUCGUGAGAUGUUGGGUUAAGUCCCGCAACGAGCGCAACCCCUAUCUUAUGUUGCCAGCACUUUGGGUGGGGACUCAUGAGAGACUGCCGCAGACAAUGCGGAGGAAGGCGGGGAUGACGUCAAAUCAUCAUGCCCCUUAUGACCUGGGCUACACACGUACUACAAUGGGAGUUAAUAGACGGAAGCGAGAUCGCGAGAUGGAGCAAACCCGAGAAACACUCUCUCAGUUCGGAUCGUAGGCUGCAACUCGCCUACGUGAAGUCGGAAUCGCUAGUAAUCGCAGGUCAGCAUACUGCGGUGAAUACGUUCCCGGGCCUUGUNC
rnacentral:rRNA from 1 species